rnacentral:rRNA from 1 species
UAUUGGACAAUGGGCGCAAGCCUGAUCCAGCAAUACCGCGUGUGUGAAGAAGGCCUUAGGGUUGUAAAGCACUUUCAAUUGGGAGGAAAACCUGCCGGUCAAUACCCGGUAGCUUGACAUUACCUUUAGAAGAAGCACCGGCUAACUCCGUGCCAGCAGCCGCGGUAAUACGGAGGGUGCGAGCGUUAAUCGGAAUUACUGGGCGUAAAGCGUGCGUAGGCGGUUCGUUAAGUCAGAUGUGAGAGCCCUGGGCUCAACCUGGGAACUGCAUUUGAAACUGGCGGACUAGAGUUUAGUAGAGGGGAGUGGAAUUUCAGGUGUAGCGGUGAAAUGCGUAGAUAUCUGAAGGAACACCAGUGGCGAAGGCGACUCCCUGGACUAGAACUGACGCUGAGGACAAA